rnacentral:rRNA from 1 species
UACAGAGGGUGCAAGCGUUGCUCGGAUUUACUGGGCGUAAAGCGUACGCAGACGGCGAGAAGGGUCGGACGUGAAAGCCCCGGGCUCAACCCGGGAAAUGCGUCCGAAACCGCCUUGCUUGAGUAUGGGAGAGGGAAGCGGAAUUCCUGGUGUAGAGGUGAAAUGCGUAGAUAUCUGGAGGAACACCGGUGGCGAAGGCGGCGUCCUGGACCAACACUGACACUGAUGAGCGAAAGCCAGGGGAGCAAACGGG